rnacentral:rRNA from 1 species
AAAUUGAAGAGUUUGAUCAUGGCUCAGAUUGAACGCUGGCGGCAGGCCUAACACAUGCAAGUCGAACGGUAACAGAAAGAAGCUUGCUUCUUUGCUGACGAGUGGCGGACGGGUGAGUAAUGUCUGGGAAACUGCCUGAUGGAGGGGGAUAACUACUGGAAACGGUAGCUAAUACCGCAUAACGUCGCAAGACCAAAGAGGGGGACCUUCGGGCCUCUUGCCAUCGGAUGUGCCCAGAUGGGAUUAGCUUGUUGGUGGGGUAACGGCUCACCAAGGCGACGAUCCCUAGCUGGUCUGAGAGGAUGACCAGCCACACUGGAACUGAGACACGG